UGGUCGUUUAGGUCCCAUAGUGGCCUCC
rnacentral:sRNA from 1 species